rnacentral:rRNA from 1 species
AUUGAACGCUGGCGGCAGGCUUAACACAUGCAAGUCGAGCGGGGUGAUGGUGCUUGCACUAUCACUUAGCGGCGGGCGGGUGAGUAAUGCUUAGGAAUCUGCCUAUUAGUGGGGGACAACAUCUCGAAAGGGAUGCUAAUACCGCAUACGUCCUACGAGAGAAAGCAGGGGAUCACUUGUGACCUUGCGCUAAUAGAUGAGCCUAAGUCGGAUUAGCUAGUUGGUGGGGUAAAGGCCUACCAAGGCGACGAUCUGUAGCGGGUCUGAGAGGAUGAUCCGCCACACUGGGACUGAGACACGGCCCAGACUCCUACGGGAGGCAGCAGUGGGGAAUAUUGGACAAUGGGGGGAACCCUGAUCCAGCCAUGCCGCGUGUGUGAAGAAGGCCUUAUGGUUGUAAAGCACUUUAAGCGAGGAGGAGGCUCUUUUGGUUAAUACCCAAGAUGAGUGGACGUUACUCGCAGAAUAAGCACCGGCUAACUCUGUGCCAGCAGCCGCCGUAA